UGUGAAUUAAUGCAAACUGCAUACUGCUUUGAACAUCGACAUCUUGAACGCAUAUUGCGGCCAUGGGUUAGCCUGUGGCCACGCCUGUCCGAGGGUCGGCUU
rnacentral:rRNA from 1 species